UGGGCCAGGGUCUUCCCUUCCCCGCUCCGGCCCGGGCCUAGGCAGGCUUCAGUCUUCAACCCUUGCCUCUUUCCCAGCUCCUUCUCAAGGGCCAGACGCACGCAAACUGCUCCUGCGAACCCCAACAGCUCCGGCCUGGACGCUGGUGGUCAGUCGCACAGGAAGCGGCCGCCCCACCCUCCCGCACCUCAGGCCGCCGGAGCGGAGCCGAGUCUCGCUUUCAGUGCCCUACGGACACGUCACCCGUCGGAAGUCCUCUCACUGCACUGCCCUCCCUCCUCCGCCCGCGGAAAGGAAACCGCAUUUGGUGGCAUUUGGUGGCGAUGCGUGUCCCCUGGGCUCCGCGCACACGGGCACCCUCCAGAGCCGCUCGUGGGAAUGGAAACAGCCCGGUCUCCUGAAAGGUGGGACCACCACGACUACUCGGAACCUGAACUUCUUACAACCGACUGGCUCAAGCCCCCAGUACAGGAAAGACACCAAUGCCCUCGCCCUCUUGCAGAACCUCCCAUUCCUGCGGCGCUCUGCUCCUGCUCGGAGACCAGGUGCGAACAGCAGUGAGCCCCAUGGUGGCAGGGACCGAGCUCUGGGAAGAGAAUUUGGUGGGAGGCAGGUCCCCUGUGCACAUCGGGCAGACGGGUGCGCGUGUGAAGAGACAUGAGGACAGACAGCCAGUGCACCAAGCGGGGGCCUGCACACAGGCUCGGCAGGACGGCAGGGGCGAGGCUCGGCAGGACGACAGGCAGAACUGCACGUGCGCCGGGAGGCUCAGCACACGCACCCCUCUACGUCUGUCGGUAUCUUCUUUUUUGGAAGAACAGAAUAAAAUGACACUUACUGGUUGGGGAGGGGGGGGUCAAGAGAUCUUGACCCUCCCAUGAGAGCCCUCCAAGUCCAAGCCCAACCAGCGCGGGUCCAACAGACGCUGUCGCUUGCUCAGACUCCAGGGCUCUGCAGCGCUCGCACGGCCCAGGCGAACCCCGCUGCCAACCAUGCCUGGGCCACACGAGCCGCAGCCCAGAGCACAGGCUUCCCCUUCCUCCCUGGCUGGAACAUGACGCCACAGCAUCGCAAAUGUAACCACACACAACCACAGCAGAAUUUGAGCAUUUGAAACACAUUUCUAAAUCACUGGCUAGAAAUGAGGCAAAGUGAACAAGCAAAAUCUGGUACCUUUUGUGAAUUUAGCAUAGAUGCCAAUAAAAAUAAUGUUCUAAUCUGAGCUACUAUUUCUAAUUUUUACGAGAGCUUCGGCAGGGCGGGGAGGGGGAGAGCCCGGGCAAGGAUGGUCCGGCUUCAUUCCCGUCACAGAAUCCAC
rnacentral:lncRNA from 1 species